AUGAAAGAUGGGGCGAUUGAAUGGAUGGUCGAAUAUCUGAGAGCUGAUCCAUAUAAGGCAGCUGAGGACUGCAGAAUAACUAAUGGGUCGCACACAAAGUUCUCCUCCCUGGAAGAACUACAUGAGAAGCAUCUGGUUGCAAUAUCAGGGGCCGAGGAUGAGGGUGACAAAGUUUUUGUUCAAAUUAAGCUUCAAACUGGAGGACGAGGCAGUUCGCUAGCUCUUGCACAUUUCUCACGAUCUAGAUAA